CAAAGAUCGAUGGGGUACAAAAAAAACCAAAGAUUUAGAAUAGAAGACAUCGGCGACCAAACAAUGGAAACUCUCCGGUAAGAGGUUUUCAUCAGCAACCCAAAACUUAGGGUUCCGGCACAGUAGGUAUCACUUUUGCUAGGAAACAUAUUCUCAGGAGCUGAAUAUGGAAGUGUAGUAGCCCAGUCGUUCCCGAUGUAUCCACCUAGUCGACCAACCAUCUUCUUAUGCCAUUCGGGUCUUAGUUCGAUCAAUUGCAAAUCUUGA
rnacentral:lncRNA from 1 species